rnacentral:lncRNA from 1 species
GGAUGACUUCAGUGGCUCCCUUAACUAGUUCUGUCACUGUAAAACCCUACAGUCAUUCUUGCACACAUAAAGGACAAAUAAGCUGGAGAGGACGACUCAGACGCUUUCAUUUUUAACUAUUCACCAAUGGAGGAGAAGGCAGAAUGCCUAAGCUAGGUCUCGGUGGCCAAUAGGGUAGCUGUGUGUCUCCCACAUGACUCGCUGCCCCUGUCUUUCACAUGGGCUGUAAUUUAGUUCAAUUCAGAACUGCAGAUAGUACAGGCUUCAGAGCAGCCAGAGAUGCCUGUGCACAAGUGCCUGAGCUCCGAGGGACUUUGGGAAACACUUGGCUAUCCCCCUCCUGCCUGGACCCCGGGACUCUGCACCUGCAGGACAGACAGCCCGGCCGCCGCCUCUGCCGUGCCUCCGGGGACGAGGAACCAGCACAGAUAACCGUUUGGAAAUGCUACUCUUUGAUGUGUGUCUAGAAGGCUAUUCAGCUGGCAGGGAAAGGUUUCAGAAACAAUUGUUGCAUGCUGGAUUCUGUGAAAGGGAAAGAAUGAAAAAUAAAAGUCAGGCAUUCCAAGAGUAGCUGCA